rnacentral:rRNA from 1 species
ACUACGGGAGGCAGCAGUGAGGAAUAUUGGUCAAUGGCCGCAGGGCUGAACCAGCCAAGUCGCGUGAGGGAUGACGGUCCUAUGGAUUGUAAACCUCUUUUGUCAGGGAGCAAAGGGCGCCACGUGUGGCGCUUUGCGAGUACCUGCAGAAAAAGCAUCGGCUAACUCCGUGCCAGCAGCCGCGGUAAUACGGAGGAUGCGAGCGUUAUCCGGAUUUAUUGGGUUUAAAGGGUGGGCAGGGGGAAUGUCAAGUCAGCGGUAAAAUUUCGGGGCGCAACCCCGUCGUGCCGUUGAAACUGGCGUUCUUGAGUGAGCGAGAGGUAUGGAGAAUGCGUGGUGUAGCGGUGAAAUGCAUCGAUCUCACGCAGACCUCCGAUUGCGAGGGCAGCAUACCGGCGCUCAACUGACGCUCAUGCACGAAAGCGUGGGUAUCGAACAGGAUUAGCUACCCGGGUAGUC